rnacentral:hammerhead_ribozyme from 1 species
AUCCAGCUAACGAGUCUCAAAUAAUAACGAAACGUACGUCCUGGAU